rnacentral:rRNA from 1 species
GGGCGCACGGUGGAUGCCUUGACACUAGGAGUCGAUGAAGGACGGGACUAACGCCGAUAUGCUUCGGGGAGCUGUAAGUAAGCUUUGAUCCGAAGAUUUCCGAAUGGGGAAACCCACCAUACGUAAUGGUAUGGUAUCCUUAUCUGAAUACAUAGGGUAAGGAAGACAGACCCAGGGAACUGAAACAUCUAAGUACCUGGAGGAAGAGAAAGCAAAUGCGAUUUCCUGAGUAGCGGCGAGCGAAACGGAACAUAGCCCAAACCAAGAGGCUUGCCUCUUGGGGUUGUAGGACAUUCUAUACGGAGUUACAAAGGAACGAGGUAGACGAAGCGACCUGGAAAGGUCCGUCGUAGAGGGUAACAACCCCGUAGUCGAAACUUCGUUCUCUCUUGAAUGUAUCCUGAGUACGGCGGAACACGUGAAAUUCCGUCGGAAUCUGGGAGGACCAUCUCCCAAGGCUAAAUACUCCCUAGUGAUCGAUAGUGAACCAGUACCGUGAGGGAAAGGUGAAAAGCACCCCGGAAGGGGAGUGAAAGAGAUCCUGAAACCGUGUGCCUACAAAUAGUCAGAGCCCGUUAACGGGUGAUGGCGUGCCUUUUGUAGAAUGAACCGGCGAGUUACGAUCCCGUGCGAGGUUAAGCUGAAGAGGCGGAGCCGCAGCGAAAGCGAGUCUGAAUAGGGCGUUUAGUACGUGGUCGUAGACCCGAAACCAGGUGAUCUACCCAUGUCCAGGGUGAAGUUCAGGUAACACUGAAUGGAGGCCCGAACCCACGCACGUUGAAAAGUGCGGGGAUGAGGUGUGGGUAGCGGAGAAAUUCCAAUCGAACCUGGAGAUAGCUGGUUCUCCCCGAAAUAGCUUUAGGGCUAGCCUUAAGUGUAAGAGUCUUGGAGGUAGAGCACUGAUUGGACUAGGGGUCCUCAUCGGAUUACCGAAUUCAGUCAAACUCCGAAUGCCAAUGACUUAUCCUUAGGAGUCAGACUGCGAGUGAUAAGAUCCGUAGUCAAAAGGGAAACAGCCCAGACCGCCAGCUAAGGUCCCAAAGUGUGUAUUAAGUGGAAAAGGAUGUGGAGUUGCUUAGACAACUAGGAUGUUGGCUUAGAAGCAGCCACCAUUUAAAGAGUGCGUAAUAGCUCACUAGUCGAGUGACUCUGCGCCGAAAAUGUACCGGGGCUAAAUACACCACCGAAGCUGCGGAUUGAUACCGAAUGGUAUCAGUGGUAGGGGAGCGUUCUAAGGACAGUGAAGUCAGACCGGAAGGACUGGUGGAGUGCUUAGAAGUGAGAAUGCCGGUAUGAGUAGCGAAAGACGGGUGAGAAUCCCGUCCACCGAAUGCCUAAGGUUUCCUGAGGAAGGCUCGUCCGCUCAGGGUUAGUCAGGACCUAAGCCGAGGCCGACAGGCGUAGGCGAUGGACAACAGGUUGAUAUUCCUGUACCACCUCUUUAUCGUUUGAGCAAUGGAGGGACGCAGAAGGAUAGAAGAAGCGUGCGAUUGGUUGUGCACGUCCAAGCAGUUAGGCUGAUAAGUAGGCAAAUCCGCUUAUCGUGAAGGCUGAGCUGUGAUGGGGAAGCUCCUUAUGGAGCGAAGUCUUUGAUUCCCCGCUGCCAAGAAAAGCUUCUAGCGAGAUAAAAGGUGCCUGUACCGCAAACCGACACAGGUAGGCGAGGAGAGAAUCCUAAGGUGUGCGAGAGAACUCUGGUUAAGGAACUCGGCAAAAUGACCCCGUAACUUCGGGAGAAGGGGUGCUUUCUUAACGGAAAGCCGCAGUGAAUAGGCCCAAGCGACUGUUUAGCAAAAACACAGCUCUCUGCGAAGCCGUAAGGCGAAGUAUAGGGGGUGACACCUGCCCGGUGCUGGAAGGUUAAGGAGAGGGGUUAGCGUAAGCGAAGCUCUGAACUGAAGCCCCAGUAAACGGCGGCCGUAACUAUAACGGUCCUAAGGUAGCGAAAUUCCUUGUCGGGUAAGUUCCGACCCGCACGAAAGGUGUAACGAUUUGGGCACUGUCUCAACCAGAGACUCGGUGAAAUUAUAGUACCUGUGAAGAUGCAGGUUACCCGCGACAGGACGGAAAGACCCCGUGGAGCUUUACUGUAGCCUGAUAUUGAAUUUUGGUACAGUUUGUACAGGAUAGGCGGGAGCCAUUGAAACCGGAGCGCUAGCUUCGGUGGAGGCGCUGGUGGGAUACCGCCCUGACUGUAUUGAAAUUCUAACCUACGGGUCUUAUCGACCCGGGAGACAGUGUCAGGUGGGCAGUUUGACUGGGGCGGUCGCCUCCUAAAGUGUAACGGAGGCGCCCAAAGGUUCCCUCAGAAUGGUUGGAAAUCAUUCGUAGAGUGCAAAGGCAUAAGGGAGCUUGACUGCGAGACCUACAAGUCGAGCAGGGACGAAAGUCGGGCUUAGUGAUCCGGUGGUUCCGCAUGGAAGGGCCAUCGCUCAACGGAUAAAAGCUACCCCGGGGAUAACAGGCUUAUCUCCCCCAAGAGUCCACAUCGACGGGGAGGUUUGGCACCUCGAUGUCGGCUCAUCGCAUCCUGGGGCUGUAGUCGGUCCCAAGGGUUGGGCUGUUCGCCCAUUAAAGCGGUACGCGAGCUGGGUUCAGAACGUCGUGAGACAGUUCGGUCCCUAUCCGUCGUGGGCGUAGGAAAUUUGAGAGGAGCUGUCCUUAGUACGAGAGGACCGGGAUGGACGCACCGCUGGUGUACCAGUUGUUCUGCCAAGGGCAUAGCUGGGUAGCUAUGUGCGGAAGGGAUAAGUGCUGAAAGCAUCUAAGCAUGAAGCCCCCCUCAAGAUGAGAUUUCCCAUAGCGUAAGCUAGUAAGAUCCCUGAAAGAUGAUCAGGUUGAUAGGUUCGAGGUGGAAGCAUGGUGACAUGUGGAGCUGACGAAUACUAAUAGAUCGAGGACUUAACCAU